GACAGAGGAGCCAAGCGUUGUCCGGAUUGACUGGGCGUAAAGCGCACGCAGGCGGCUGUGCACGUGGGGUGUGAAAGGUGGCGGCUUAACUGCCACACGCCACCUCAUACGGCACGGCUCGAGCCCGUGAGAGGUCCACGGAAUUGCCGGUGUAGUGGUGGAAUGCGUAGAUAUCGGGAGGAACACCAGUGGCGAAGGCGGUUACCUGGAGCUUUGCUGACGCUGAUGCGCGAAAGCGUGGGGAGCGAUCCGG
rnacentral:rRNA from 1 species